CACCCAGGCAUCUCUCUGUCGACCGCCUAUAUCCCGUCAAACACCAACUGCUCUCUCUAGAAACUUCCCGUGCUCAAACCUUAGCCCAAGAACCUGUUUCAGACCCUCUGCAAACGAUCCAUUCGACGAGAUUUGUUGCUAGAAAAACAUGUUCUAGUGGUCAUGAAGACGAAGUUCCAGGAAAUGUAACAAUCCAAAGUUUGGUUUGAAAGAAUUUCAAUCAAAAUUGCAGAAGGUUGCUGGUUGCCAGUGAGUGUCUCCAUGAAUAAGAGUUGUAGUAAACUUCAAUUAAUAGGCAACAAGUGGAAAUGCAAGAUAAAACCAGGGACGUGGCUGCACAGCGAACAAGGCCGAUCUCAGACAUUUAAACCUAGCCUAAAAUGAAGCAAAGUAUCAUCUUCUCUAACAGCUUAUAAUGCAAUUGCGUAGUACAUCUCAAAUGGUACUGUGCAGAACACGAGACACUUGCAUAUAUCACAUUCGGUGCCACUGUAGCAGAACCUUAAUUUUUGUGCAAUCAAAUGUACAUAUACUUGCCAAUGAAGUUAGUUUUAAGCGUUAACAAUCAACUACCUGCUAUGCCUAGUGAAUGAUGUAUAUAAUUCACCUCAGUUCACUUGCCUUCCUUAAUGGGCAAUACAUGUUAAGUUUGGAUCGAUUGCUAUUUGCUUUGAACUGUUAAUUCGUAUAGCUAACCUGAUCUUGAGCAGUCUUUAAAACAAUUGUUGAUUCAACAAACUUCAAGCAUCCAGUUAUACAUUGAAGUAUUGUGCAUCUACGCCAAAAAUGCUGUCAGCUGGGAGGUAACAGUUGCCUCUACACGUUCCCCAACCACAAAUGCCGCGUUAACUAGGAAAGGCCCUCAGGUGAGGAAAUUCAAUGACGAAGCUUGGUAUUCGAGCUUGAUCUAUUGUAUGAUGUAUAGGCUUCACCAUUGUAGAGAAAGAGAUGCUCUUACCUACUCUGUUCGUUUCCGCUCGCUUACUACAACUCUCCAUACGACCACUACCACCCCCGCCACCAUCAUCACCAACGUAGCUAGAGUUAGCAGCCACUAUGACUGCUACUUUACCAUACCAGCUUCACUUCUCUCUCGCCCGUUCUAUAUAAUCACAGAACCAACACCACCAACUCACAGGCAUGAACACCACCAGCUAAGUUGGGAUCAACCAGAAGCACUACACACAAGACCUGAAAGCGCCAAGUAGCAGUGAACCAGUACCCCAAUUCUGAAUGUCUACGGUUUAGAUCAGGCGCUGUCGUCAUCCAUUUUCUUGAAGGCGUCGUGUUUCUUUCAAGUGACGGUGGCAGGUUCUGUGUUUGCACUUAGUCGCAGCGUCGGCUGAAAGUGAAAAGGUGGAUGCGGUAUUAUCUCAUCCUCCUUAGUCAAGUGAGUUCAUGAUCAAUCUUCUUGCAAGCUUGGGAUCGUCCCAUAUUAUCUCAAGCAAGAGCAGCACGUAUUAAAUUUAGUUUUGCUAAUAAAGGUACUGCCUCUACCUCUUUAGCUAAAUUUUAGUUUCGUGUCCUCAUUUAAUAGUAUUUGUUUUGAUUAUAUUGAGUGUCCGAUGGUCUUGCUUUCUCAUUUCGAUGAUUUGUAGUCUUUUUUGCUGUUGCUUUUGUAAAGACAUCUGUCUUACUUUCUGAACAGUCGUUUCACAUCUUACAUGCAAUGAUAUCAACCUUUGCAGUUAGCAGCACAACAAAUGUUUGUGGAAAGGCCUAAUUGGUCAAGAUGCCUGAACUCAGGCCUUGUCAAGUCCCGAAUGAUUGCAAACCACAAAAUAUAGAGAAUAUAAUUGCUUACACAUUUUCCCCCACCCUUAUACAUAGCUCGCUUGCGUGCAUAUAAUCACAUCUAGUCAUUAAGUAAUUUUGAUGUAAUUUUAAGAUGGCAGCAACAAGGAUCUAUUACGAAAUACACACACUACCACUCACGAAUACCAAAAAACCAAAGACACAUUGCAAUAUGGUGACAUAACCUGAGGUGAUUUAAGUGGUAGGAUGACCUGAGUCCAGAAUUGGCUUCCACAGGAAUAUGGUAAAUGACGAUAACUCUAUAUGAUUGUCGCACCCUGUUUCAGCAAGUACAUCAAACACAACAUUGCAGGUUGAAAAUAACAAUGUCUGAGAAGUUCAUGAACGAUGUUGUGUUGUCAUGAGCGGUUGGCGUGGCGGGUUAAUGACUCCACCACCCGAGUACAGCUAGUUGUGACGUAACUCUAAUAAUGAGAAGGUGUUCCAAGUAUGACAUUGAGGGAUGAUAAACCGUGGACCACCACCUAAUUUAGCUCGAAGCUCCCGCACCUCACAAUCUCACAAGUAUUUGCAAACAUGGUCUUGUGAUUAUCAGGGUUUUAGAAGCCUUUCGGAGUUGACGCUGAUUGGUGCUGAGCAUCUCCUGGAUUGGUCACCAGCUCCUUCCCCCUUCAGAGAUUACCACUUUUAUUCAACCGAUAAGCGGUUACAAUUAUUUUUUUCGAUUCUAUUUAGAUAGUGGCGGACCUCUAUUUUGCUAUAAUUGCCUUUACUUAAAACCUCUUACGGUGAUGAUGCUGCAAUAUUUUCAUGUUCUAAUUCAAUAUACACAAUAUUUAUAUUUCCCAUUUAA